GUGACAUCCCAUUGGCCCUAGAACUCCUCCAAACAACCAUUCAAUUCAGCACAGAAUUGUUUCCACAGUGACUUGUAUAUCUAUCUAUCUAUCUAUCUAUCUAUAUACCAUUGGCCCUAGAACUCCUCCAAACAACCAUUCAAUUCAGCACAGAAUUGUUUCCACAGUGACUUGUAUAUCUAUCUAUCUAUCUAUAUAUACUCAUCUUGGCAUUCUCAAGCAAUACAAGUCACUCACAGACUAGAAAUUCAAAUAUUUCUUUCUCACACAAGCUUCAGCUUUAGUUGUGUUGUUCUUGGUAUCUUUGC
rnacentral:lncRNA from 1 species